rnacentral:misc_RNA from 1 species
CAUUUAACUGAUUGCCCUUAGAAGUUGGCUUCUUACAGAAACACAGCUUCCCUAUCACCAAAUGUCACGGCACGCCACUGUAAUGCACAUAUAUUUUUUAAUUCUUUAAAACAUUUUAUAUAUUUGAUUAUUUAUAAGAAGUUUUCUUCUAGAAAUAGGGUAUCUCAUGGCAAAAUAUGGGCUAGCAUUUGAAACAAUGAAGCAGUUUUCUAAAAUUAAUGGAUCUGAAUCUCUUUAUGAUUUAAUAGUCUUAUUAAGUGGAUGCAAAGAGUUUCAAGAUAUUUUACUUCGCAGUAAUGAAAGAAAAAUUUUAAAUACUUUGAAUAAAAAUAAAACAAAAGCAACAAUUAGAUAUCCUGUCUCAGGAAAGGUAAACACUCCUCAAUUAAAAAUAAAUUGUAUUAUUCAAGCAGCACUUGGAUGUUUAACAAUUUCAGAACCAUCUUUAAAUCAAGAUAUGACAAAAAUAAUGAAGAUAGGUCAAAGAAUUAGUAAAGGUUUAGCUGAAUACUUAUUUAUAGAAAUUAGAGGAUUUAAAGCAUUAUUAAAUGCCAUUACUUUGGCAAAAUGUUUUCAUGCACGACUAUGGGAAAAUUCUAAGUAUGUUUCAAGACAAUUGGAAAAAAUUGGUGCAGCUUUCUCUGAUAUACUAGUGAAUGCUAAUAUAACCAGUUUUCAAGCUAUAGAAGAUACAAAUCCUAGAGAAUUAGAAAUGAUUUUAAACAGAAACCCACCAUUUGGAAGCUAUAUUCAUGAUGCAACAUGUCAUUUACCAAAAUAUGAAAUAUGUAUUGAGCAGGAAUCCAAAACCUUAAAUAAUUACUUGGAUAUAUAUGUUACUGUCAUGUUGAAAAAUUACAAGUUGCUUCAAGAAAAACACACAGCUUCUUCAAAUCACUCCUGUGUAUUAUUAGUAGGUGACUCUGAUGAUAAUUUAAUUUUAAAACAAAGAGUAAUGGACUCGACUCUGAUUAAAAUGGGACAACUGAUGAAAAAAUUUCAAAUUCAAGCAUGUAAAGAGAAUAUGGAACUUAAAGUAUAUGUAAUUAGUGAACAUUAUGAAUUUUCUAUCCCUUUUUAAUCCUUCUUUUGUCAAUGGGGGAUCUGUUCCAAGAAACAUCAGUAACAAUACUGUAGAUAGAACAACAAUGAGCCCAAAGGGGAAGAGAAACUGGUUACUCUUGAGCUUGAUUUUGGAGAGGACACACAAAGGUCCUGAUAGUCUGAGGAGAGACUUUCUAUCAUCACAAAGUUGGAUAAGCAACGGAACUAUAUUUGUGAUGAAAGACAGAAAAUGAUAAAGCCAGAAGAUUUCCUUGUGGACUUCAUCUCACAAGUGAGGAACAGUAUCCCCCAACAAAAUUCCAGGUUUAGUGAGUUCCUAAGUUGUGCUUGUGGGGUCUCCCCCCUUUUCUCGGUGUGGACCUACUUUUUUCUGCUCGGGAGCGCAAGUGUGCGCAAGUUUUUUCUACGGUGCUUUCCCUCGUUGUUGGAUUAGAUAAGCAGAUUACUUAUAAACUACAUUCAGGAAAAUUUCAUGAACAGAAAAGUCAUAUAAAUAAAAAGAAUAGUAAUCCUGGAAAU